rnacentral:lncRNA from 1 species
AAAGUACAAAUUCUCAUAAAUAAAAGUAACAAUUAUCGUGAACAAAUGUAAUUAUUUAGAAACAUUACAUUUAGUUAUUUUAUCAAAUAAUUAUUAUUAUAAUAAAAAAUAAUUAUUGACAUGAAGAAAUGUAAUAUUUUAAAAUAUUACAUUUUUCACAAAAAUAUAUAAAAAAAAAUACAAAAGAAAAACAAAAAAUAAAGAAAAUACCGAAAGAAUAAAAAAACCAAAAUAUAUUAAAAAAUGCAAAAGAAAAAUAGUAAAAUUUAAAAAUAAUGCAAAGAAAAAAAAAUAUUGUAAAGAAAAAGAAUAUAUAUAUAAAGAUAAAAAAAUAAAGAAAACAGAAAAAGGAAAAAAAAUGUAAAAAAAAAAAGAAAGAAAUAAAAAUAGAAAAAAAAAACAAACAAAAAACGCAAAAUGGGGGCAACAGGAUUAGAAAUCCUGACCUUGGGGAGAAAGAGUAGUGGUAACUGUUACCACAUCAUAAGUUUGAAGAUCAUUACUAUAACUUAGGCCCUGUUUGAAAACUUGGUUGCGAAAUGGCAAGUUACAAAAACUCAAGGAAAUGUAACAAGAGUUGGGCUGGUUAUAUUGUAUUGACUGUGUAUUUGGUAGCAGAGGUUUAAAAGCGUGAAAAUAGAGUGCAGUUGUUUGGUAAUUACUGCUGAAAUCUUGAAAAACGCGUGAAAUGUCCAAUAUAUCCUUGUUAUAUUUACACCCCUCGACACCUCAAAAUGAAACUGCAGAGGUUUUCUUUAUUUUGAUGUCGUAAUUCAGGAAGCUUUUGGUUGAGAAAAUGACAAAAUGUAACCAGCCCAACUCAAGACAAAACUCUUGCUCAAGAAGGAUAAUUAUCGGCUAAUCAAGAAAAACUCUUGCUUGCCUCGAAAAAAGAAAAAGAAAAAAAGAGAGAGAAAAAACUCUUGCUUAAGAUUAUCAUUCCAAACCUCCCUAAUUUGAACGGAAUCAUCUCUUUGGCAAGCGGUAGUGUUGAAUAUUGCAGGGAAUUGGGAGUGGUGGUGCACGGUUGUGGUGUUUGGCAGGCGGCAGUGACGUUUGGCAUGCAGCGGUGGUGGUGAAAUAAAAUUGUAAUCAGGCGAUGGGAGUGGUGAUGUUUGGCAAGCGGUGGUGGUGAACCGUUGUGGUCUUUGGCAGGCGGCGGCGGUGGUGAAAUAAAAUUGGAAUCAAGCGACGGGAAUGGUGAUGUUUGGCAAGCGGUGGUCGUGAAAUAUUGCAGGGAAUUGGGGGUGGUGGUGAACGGUGGUGGCGUUUGGCAGGCAGUGGAAUAAAG